rnacentral:tRNA from 1 species
GGGUGUAGCUCAGAGGUAGAGUGCAUGCUUAGCAUGCACGAGGUCCUGGGUUCAAUCCCCAGUACAUCCG